rnacentral:rRNA from 1 species
GACGAACGCUGGCGGCGUGCCUAAUACAUGCAAGUCGAGCGAAUCAAUAGGAGCUUGCUCCUGUUGGUUAGCGGCGGACGGGUGAGUAACACGUGGGCAACCUGCCUGUAAGACUGGGAUAACACCGGGAAACCGGUGCUAAUACCGGAUAAUCCUUUUCCUCUCAUGAGGAAAAGCUGAAAGUCGGUUUCGGCUGACACUUACAGAUGGGCCCGCGGCGCAUUAGCUAGUUGGUGAGGUAACGGCUCACCAAGGCGACGAUGCGUAGCCGACCUGAGAGGGUGAUCGGCCACACUGGGACUGAGACACAGCCCAGACUCCUACGGGAGGCAGCAGUAGGGAAUCUUCCACAAUGGACGAAAGUCUGAUGGAGCAACGCCGCGUGAGCGAUGAAGGCCUUCGGGUCGUAAAGCUCUGUUGUUAGGGAAGAACAAGUACCGGAGUAACUGCCGGUACCUUGACGGUACCUAACCAGAAAGCCACGGCUAACUACGUGCCAGCCGCCGCGGUAAUAC